UACAGAGGGGGCAAGCGUUAUUCGGAAUUAUUGGGCGUAAAGGGCGCGUAGGCGGCCUGGCAAGUGGAAGGUGAAAUCCCUCGGCUUAACCGAGGAACUGCCCUCCAAACUGCUUGGCUUGAGUCCGGGAGAGGUGAGUGGAAUUCCCAGUGUAGCGGUGAAAUGCGUAGAUAUCGUAAGGAAGACCAGUGGCGAAGGCGGGUCUCUGGACAGUUCCUGACACUGAGACACGAAGGCCAGGGGAGCAAACGGG
rnacentral:rRNA from 1 species